UACGUAGGCAGCGAGCGUUGUUCGGAAUUACUGGGCGUAAAGCGCACGUAGGCGGCUUUGUAAGUUAGAGGUGAAAGCCCAGGGCUUAACCCUGGAAUUGCCUUUAAGACUGCAUCGCUAGAAUCGUGGAGAGGUGAGUGGAAUUCCGAGUGUAGAGGUGAAAUUCGUAGAUAUUCGGAAGAACACCAGUGGCGAAGACGACUCACUGGACACGUAUUGACGCUGAGGUGCGAAAGCGUGGGGAGCAAACAGG
rnacentral:rRNA from 1 species